rnacentral:rRNA from 1 species
CCUACGGGUGGCAGCAGUGGGGAAUAUUGCACAAUGGGGGAAACCCUGAUGCAGCGACGCCGCGUGAGUGAAGAAGUAUUUCGGUAUGUAAAGCUCUAUUAGCAGGGAAGAAAAUGACGGUACCUGUUUAAGAAGCCCCGGCUAACUACGUGCCAGCAGCCGCGGUAAUACGUAGGGGGCAAGCGUUAUCCGGAUUUACUGGGUGUAAAGGGAGCGUAGACGGCAGCACAAGUCUGGAGUGAAAUGCCGGGGCUUAACCCCGGAACUGCUUUGGAAACUGUGCAGCUAGAGUGCAGGAGAGGUAAGUGGAAUGCCUGGUGUAGCGGUGAAAUGCUUAGAGAUUAGGAAGAACACCAGUGGCGAAGGCGGCUUACUGGACUAUAACUGACGUUGAGGCUCGAAAGCGUGGGGAGCAAACAGGAUUAGAUACCCGAGUAGUC